rnacentral:lncRNA from 1 species
GGGGAGAGCCCGAGUGACCUCAAAGAAUCAGCAAAUGUGGUCACCCUGGGUGCAUGCUCCUACAUGCAACAAUGGCAGGUGCUGGGCUGCAGGAACUCCUUUCCACGGAAUUGAAUUCUCCGCUGGGGCUGCAGGAACUCCUUUCCACAGAAUGGAAUUCUCCGCUGGGGUAGUUCCCACUCCUCUCUGCCAUCUCCCCAACACGGAGCUCACGCGUCUGCUCUCUGUCCCUGCACAUGCACUGUUUAUUGCACUGAAGAUGAGGAAGACAUCACCUUGUAGGA